rnacentral:tRNA from 1 species
GGAGAAAUAAGAGCAGUUGGUCUAAGCUCGGCGGUUUAGAAAACCGUAGGCCCUAGUGGUGUGUGGGUUCGAGUCCCACUUUCUCCGCCG